rnacentral:lncRNA from 1 species
UUGGAGGGAUGGUCGAUUUGCUGGGACGAGCAGGCUGGCUGGAAGAGGCCGAGCAAGUGAUGCGAAAAAAUCCUUGCGCUUUGGCUCACGCUGUUUUGCUGGGAGCUUGUCACGUCCACGGCGAUGUCGAGCGAGGGAUUCGCGUCGCACAGAGCGCUCUCGAGUUGGAUUGGAAGAACUCGGCAUCGUAUGUCACCAUGUCUCACAUGUACGCUGGCGCUGGAUCACGGCAAGAGUUUCACGAGUUAGAGACCAGCUUAUCAGAAGAACUUGGACCACUCACCUCUUGAAGAAUCUUGUGCGCUGAUAGUCGAAGAGAUCGCAAGAACUCGAGAAGAAAUGAGGAUGAAUGAUCAAUCAGCCAUUCAAGGAAAAGAGAUUUUCUACAUCAGAGGAGAGCGACCUGAUCGAGUCGAGCGGUGAAUUUCUACUAGCUAGCGGCUACGUUUCCUUGCCUUCGCUUACGCGAUGUCGGUGUCGUCGAAAUCAUCCUCGAAGCUGUUGAAGAAGUCGAGAUCGCAGGGCUUGUUGUCGACGAUGGCGUCGCCCAGCAUCUCGAUGCCGUCGCCGUCGAUGUCCAUGUCCAUCGCGACGCUGCCGCCCACGCCCUGAUCCUCGACAUCGCCCGCCACAUACACUGGGAAUGGCUUCAUCGUCCCUCCUAACCCUAGAACAAGAUGGGAUAUUCCCACCGAUA